UACGAAGGGGGCUAGCGUUGUUCGGAAUCACUGGGCGUAAAGCGUGCGCAGGCUGAUCUACAAGUCAGGGGUGAAAUCCCAGAGCUUAACUCUGGAAUUGCCUUUGAGACUGUAGAUCUCGAGUCCGUGAGAGGGUGGCGGAAUUCCCAGUGUAGAGGUGAAAUUCGUAGAUAUUGGGAGGAACACCAGUGGCGUAGGCGGCCACCUGGCACGGUACUGACGCUCAUGCACGAAAGCGUGGGGAUCAAAC
rnacentral:rRNA from 1 species